GACGAACGCUGGCGGCGUGCCUAACACAUGCAAGUCGAGCGGAGUCGAUCGACGGAAGCCUUCGGGCGGAAGAUGGUUGACUUAGCGGCGGAUGGGUGAGUAACGCGUGGGCAACCUGCCUCGAAGACCGGGAUAACAGCCCGAAAGGGCUGCUAAUACCGGAUGUGGUCAAGGAUCCGCAUGGAUUUUUGAUUAAAGGGGAAACCCGUUUCGAGAUGGGCCCGCGUCCUAUCAGCUAGUUGGUGAGGUAAAAGCUCACCAAGGCGACGACGGGUAGCCGGCCUGAGAGGGUGACCGGCCACACUGGAACUGAGACACGGUCCAGACUCCUACGGGGGCAGCAGUGGGGAAUCUUCCACAAUGGGCGAAAGCCUGAUGGAGCGACGCCGCGUGAGCGAAGAAGGCCUUCGGUUGUAAAGCUCUGUCUGGAGGGACGGAAGGAAGUGACGGUACCUCCGGAGGAAGCCACGGCUAACUACGUG
rnacentral:rRNA from 1 species